rnacentral:rRNA from 1 species
UGGGGAAUUUUGGACAAUGGGCGCAAGCCUGAUCCAGCCAUGCCGCGUGUGGGAAGAAGGCCUUCGGGUUGUAAACCACUUUUGUCAGGGAAGAAACGGCUCUUACUAAUAUUAGGAGCUAAUGACGGUACCUGAAGAAUAAGCACCGGCUAACUACGUGCCAGCAGCCGCGGUAAUACGUAGGGUGCAAGCGUUAAUCGGAAUUACUGGGCGUAAAGCGUGCGCAGGCGGCUUUGCAAGACAGAUGUGAAAUCCCCGGGCUCAACCUGGGAACUGCAUUUGUGACUGCAAGGCUAGAGUACGGUAGAGGGGGAUGGAAUUCCGCGUGUAGCAGUGAAAUGCGUAGAUAUGCGGAGGAACACCGAUGGCGAAGGCAAUCCCCUGGACCUGUACUGACGCUCAUGCACGAAAGCGUGGGGAGCGAAACAGGAUUAGAUACCCAAGUAGUCCCUGAGCGGGCUGGCAAGGCGCAU